CAAAAAAAAAAAAAAAAAAAAAAACAGAAGCAUAUUUAAAAAACAAAAAAACAAAACAAUCAUAUUUAAAAGAUACAAAACAAAUAAUAAUUAAGAUAAGUUUCUAGUGUAUACAGGAUUUAUUCAAGAAAGGUUAACAAUUAUGUGAAUGAACACUGUAAUUUUACUACUAAUGGUUUUGUUGUGUUUGCCAUUUCAAAAGUGUGCUAGUUUAGAAAGUGUAACGACUGUAUCUCAAAUGAUGUUUGAAAAUAGUUCAUUUGGUAUUUGGUGUAACAGUUUCCAUUGAAAACUGCCAAGGUUUAACAUUUUAAAAUUUUAACAGUUAGGGUUGUUCUUAAAGGUCUAAACCAUCAAGAUUGUAUUUCCGAAACAUCAGCCUUUUCUUUAGUUUCUAAUAAAUAAUUUAACGUUACAUUGCUAAAGACAUAACUAGAGUUUUUAUUUGAAUUCUGGUGUAAAAACAAAUAAUUCAGUUAAUGGUAGAAUAAGUUUCUCUCUCUUAAAAAAAAAUGUUAAGAUGUGUGAUUUAGCUAUGGAAAUUGUUGGUUUAGCUAUGUUGACAAUACUUGUUGGCUGUGUUAGAGAGUAGGCUACUAUGUUUAAGGUCCACUCUGAUUAAUUCUUCCAUAGAUAGAAGUAAUGAAUUGCAUUAUGUACCUCAUUAGUGAUCUGACCUGUGUCUCUGUGAUUUGAUACCCUAUUUUAAUUAUAAUAAUUAAAAAAAAAAAGCUCCUGCUCAUUUGAAUGUAUGUCUGUUGUAUUUUAUGCAUGCAAAAUGUACAGGCUUAUUUGAUGUUAUAAACAAAGUCUUGUAUUGGCUUCUUUUAUAUAGAGAUUUUUUUUUUACCUUUUUCUCUGUAUCAUAGAAAGGAAAUGUGGAAUUAUUUUAUCUCCAAAGCUCUAUAGCCAUUGUUUGAUUUCAGAUUUGACCUUUGUCUUUCAUUGUUUGACCUUUUUAUGUUUUGUUUAGCUCAUCUUUUGAUGUAAUUUUCAUCUUUGCUUAGAGUUAGAGCAAUAAGUACCCACCUUCGCAUUGACAGUCAUUGUUCUCUGUUUUUUUUUUAUUUUUCUCUUUUUUUUAAAAAUUUAGUAGGAGAAUGAUUCUAACAGCCAGCGAUAAAACUAAAGUUUAUACAUUUUGAAUUGAAAGCUUGCAUGUUGUUAAUAGAAGUCUAGCUUGAAUAGUUUGCAUUUGUCAAAUUAGUCUUUAAAUACAGAUUUGUUUAUAAUGUAUAAACUAUUUAAAUUAUUAUUUCUAAGUAUUGGUGAUUUUUUUUUUUACUAUAGAAGAACUAGGGAAUAUAAAAAAAAAGUUGAAGUUGUUUGAAAAUGCAUCAAUUGGUCUCCGUGUAUUUGAAAGAAUUAAAGUCUCUCUUUCGAAUGGGGUAUGGGUCUAGAACCGUUUUUUUUUUUUCGUCUUUGAAAAUGUGUUCAGCACAUCUAGCCAUAAUUACAGAAAGACCUUGACCUCUUGAUACCAAUAUCUUUUUCAUAUGAGCCUAUAGGGUAUUCUUUCGAUCAGUCCAUCUGUCUGCAGACUUCUUGUCUGAUAAAUUAUAAGUGUUGCAGUCAAGCCAGCUUUAAUUUUUAAGUAGAUGUUCAGUACUUUCAGAUAUUUAUUUAUAUUUGUAUUGCCUCAUGACUAAAUCUAUUUAUUGUAAAUGUUUGGAACUAUUGAAAAAGCUCUUUA